UACGUAGGGGGCUAGCGUUGUUCCGGAAUCAUUGGGCGUAAAGAGCGUGUAGGCGGCCCGGUAAGUCCGCUGUAAAAGUCAAAGGCUCAACCUUUGAAUGUCAGUGGAUACUGCCGGGCUAGAGUCCGGAAGAGGCGAGUGGAACUCCUGGUGUAGCGGUGGAAUGCGCAGAUAUCAGGAAGAACACCGACGGCGAAGGCAGCUCGCUGGGACGGUACUGACGCUGAGACGCGAAAGCGUGGGGAGCGAACAGG
rnacentral:rRNA from 1 species